rnacentral:rRNA from 1 species
GACGAACGCUGGCGGCGUGCUUAACACAUGCAAGUCGAACGGAAAGGCCCCUUUGGGGGUACUCGAUUGGCGCACGGGUGAGUAACACGUGCGUAACCUGCCCGUGACUUCGGGCUAACUUCAGGAGACUGGGGCGAAUACCGGAUAGGAAUCCUUGCUGCAUGGUGGGGGUUGGGAAGCGUCGGCGGUUUUGGAUGGACUCGCGGCCUAUCAGCUUGUUGGUGGGGUAGUGGCUUACCAAGGCCUUGACGGGUAGCCGGCCUGAGAGGGCGACCGGCCACAUUGGGACUGAGAUACGGCCCAGACUCCUACGGGAGGCAGCAGUGGGGAAUAUUGCACAAUGGGCGGAAGCCUGAUGCAGCAACGCCGCGGGCGGGAUGACGGCCUUCGGGUUGUAAACCGCUUUCAGCAGGGGCGAAGCUUGUGGUGACGGUACCUGCAGAAGAAGCACCGGCUAACUACGUG